rnacentral:ncRNA from 1 species
GACUCGGAACGAGUCUUGAAGUGGGACUCUUCUCGACUCUUCUCCCUUGGGCUCAAGGCAAUCUCAAACAUCGCCCUCAAAACCUUGUGGCAUCAUCAACCAGUCCUGAUGUCUUUGGAUGGAUUUGAGUAAGAGAAUAGCUGUGGCGACCCGAAAGAUGGUGAAGUAUGCGUGAAUAGGGUGAAGUCAGAGCAAAAUCUAGUGAGGGCUCGCAGCGGUUCUGACAUGCAAAUCAAUUAUCAAAUUCGGGUAUAGGGGAAACCAAGAUAUGCUAGCCACGAUCUAG